AUACGGAGGCUACGAGCGUUAUCCGGAUUUAUUGGGUUUAAAGGGUGCGCAGGCGGCCAUUUAAGUCAGCGGUUAAAUCGUGGGGCUCAACCCCAUUCUGCCGUUGAUACUGGGUGGCUUGAUUGCGGUCGAGGUUGGCGGAAUUCGUUGUGUAGCGGUGAAAUGCAUAGAUAUGACGAAGAACACCGAUUGCGUAGGCAGCUGACCAGAUCGCAAAUGACGCUCAUGCACGAAAGUGCGGGGAUCGAACAGGAUUAGAUACCCUGGUAGUCCGCACAGUAAACGAUGAAUACUUGUUUUCGGCGAUAUAAUGUCGGAGGCAAAGCGAAAGCGAUAAGUAUUCCACCUGGGGAGUACGCCGGCAACGGUGAAACUCAAAGGAAUUGACGGGG
rnacentral:rRNA from 1 species